rnacentral:rRNA from 1 species
CGUAGGGUGCGAGCGUUAAUCGGAAUUACUGGGCGUAAAGCGUGCGCAGGCGGUUACGUAAGACAGAGGUGAAAUCCCCGGGCUCAACCUGGGAACUGCCUUUGUGACUGCAUAGCUAGAGUACGGCAGAGGGGGAUGGAAUUCCGCGUGUAGCAGUGAAAUGCGUAGAUAUGCGGAGGAACACCGAUGGCGAAGGCAAUCCCCUGGGCCUGUACUGACGCUCAUGCACGAAAGCGUGGGGAGCAAACAGGAUUAGAUACCCUGGUAGUCCACGCCCUAAACGAUGUCAACUGGUUGUUGGGUCUUCACUGACUCAGUAACGAAGCUAACGCGUGAAGUUGACCGCCUGGGGAGUACGGCCGCAAGGUUG